ensembl:snoRNA Gm24500 predicted gene, 24500
UUUCAAGGGGGAAGCUUUUAAAAAAAAGUAAUCUCUACUAACUUGGGCUACCUGGCAGAAUGAAUAAAGGCACACACUCCAUAGUGGGCUAUCCAGUUAGUUUGGUUACUAUGUUGCCCACAUU